CAGUCGCCGCGGGAAUACGAAGGGUGCAAGCGUUACUCGGAAUUACUGGGCGUAAAGCGUGCGUAGGUGGUGGUUUAAGUCCGUUGUGAAAGCCCUGGGCUCAACCUGGGAAUUGCAGUGGAUACUGGGUCACUAGAGUGUGGUAGAGGAUAGUGGAAUUUCCGGUGUAGCAGUGAAAUGCGUAGAGAUCGGAAGGAACAUCUGUGGCGAAGGCGACUAUCUGGGCCAACACUGACACUGAGGCACGAAAGCGUGGGGAGCAAACAGGAUUAGAUACCCCGUAGUCCCUGUCUCUUAUACC
rnacentral:rRNA from 1 species